rnacentral:rRNA from 1 species
AUUGAACGCUGGCGGCAAGCCUAACACAUGCAAGUCGAACGAGUGGCGGACGGGUGAGUAAUGUCUGGGAAACUGCCUGGUGGAGGGGGAUAACUACUGGAAACGGUAGCCAAUACCGUAUUCCAGCGGAUGUGCCCAGAUGGGAUUAGCUAGUAGGUGGGGCAAAGGCUCACCUAGGCGACGAUCCCUAGCUGGUCUGAGAGGAUGACCAGCCACACUGGAACUGAGACACGGUCCAGACGCCUACGGGAGGCAGCAGUGGGGAAUAUUGGACAAUGGGCGAAAGCCUGAUGCAGCCAUGCCGCGUGUGUGAAGAAGGCCUUCGGGUUGUAAAGUACGUUCAGCGGGGAGGCGUUACCCGCAGAAGAAGCACCGGCUAACUCCGUGCCAGCCGCCGCGGUAAUAC